GGAGGGCAAGUCUGGUGCCAGCAGCCGCGGUAAUUCCAGCUCCAAUAGCGUAUAUUAAAGUUGUUGCGGUUAAAACGCUCGUAGUUGGAUCUGCGGCCUUGAAGGACGGUCUCCCGAAAGGGUAGUCACUGUCUCUUCUAGCCUAAAUUCGAGUUGUCUCUAUGUGCUCUUUAUUGAGUGCUUAGAGCGACUAGAACGUUUACUUUGAAAAAAUUAGAGUGCUUAAAGCAGGCGAAAUAGCCUGAAUAAGGUGCAUGGAAUAAUGGAAUAGGACCUCGGUUCUAUUUUGUUGGUUUUCGGAGCCUGAGGUAAUGAUUAAGAGGAACAGACGGGGGCAUUCGUAUUUCGGCGCUAGAGGUGAAAUUCUUGGACCGCCGAAAGACGAACGACUGCGAAAGCAUUUGCCAAGAAUGUUUUCAUUAAUCAAGAACGAAAGUUAGAGGUUCGAAGGCGAUCAAAUACCGCCCUAGUUCUGACCGAAAA
rnacentral:rRNA from 1 species